rfam:Ixodes scapularis strain Wikel colony gcontig_1108378367840, whole genome shotgun sequence.
GCAGUUGUGGCCGAGUGGUUAAGGCGAUGGACCAGAAAUCCAUUGGGGUCUCCGCGCACAGGUUUGAAUCCUGUCGACUGCG